CUGGUACUGUUGACAAGCAUCUCAAGCAGCAUAAAAGUGUGCUGGAGCAGCAGUUGGCUAUCCCUAACUUACAUUUUUGCUUAAAAAAAAAAAAAGACCUUAAAGGUUCAAAAAGACUGAGUGCCAUAGCUAAAAGCAUCUUUGAAAUGUCAAAUGCCAUACCAGUUUACGCUCAGUUUAACGAAGGAGAAAGAAUGCUUUUGUGUGUCUGCAUGCAGCUUGUCCGACCUAUUUCUACAGCCCAAGCCGCCUGCUGCACCACAUCAGUAAUGAUAGUUCUCCGUGGGACCUUGAUACUCGCCAGGGUACCUGCCUGUCCAACUGGACCCAGCCUGAUGACAGAUGCUAAAACUGGAAGAUGAAAUAUUCUUAAAGACAAUGGAGGCUAAAAAAAAAAAAAAAAGACAAUGGAAGCUAAGCAAACAAGUGACACCACAGGCACACAGGACAGCCAAAGAAACAGGGACGCAGAGAACAAAACAGUCAAUGAUUUCUCCAGUGGGAGAAGAACCUUCUCAAACAGUUUGUCCACCAGGCACAUAUGGGAAGGACUGUAAACAGGUAUGUCAGUGUUCAGCUGAGAAUGAAGAGUGUCACCCAGUCACAG
rnacentral:lncRNA from 1 species